GUGGAUUAGAUACCCUAGUAGUCCACACUGUAAACGAUGAAUGCUAGGUGUGGGGCCGAAAGGUUCCGUGCCGCAGUUAACACAAUAAGCAUUCCACCUGGGGAGUACGGCCGCAAGGUUGAAACUCAAAGGAAUUGACGGGAGCCCGCACAAGCAGUGGAGUAUGUGGUUUAAUUCGACGCAACGCGAAGAACCUUACCAGGACUUGACAUCCCAGGAAUCCGGCGUAAUGGCUGGAGUGCCCUUCGGGGAAUCUGGUGACAGGUGGUGCACGGCCGUCGCCAGCU
rnacentral:rRNA from 1 species